UCUACGUUACAGUGUAAGUCACUCUGGAUAAGAGCGUCUGCUAAAUGACAUUUA
rfam:Salmo salar isolate Sally breed double haploid chromosome ssa03, whole genome shotgun sequence.